rnacentral:rRNA from 1 species
UUUAGUUAGAGUUUGAUCCUAGCUCAGGAUGAACGCUGGCGGCGUGGAUAAGGCAUGCAAGUCGAACGAAGGAGUCCUAUGAAAGUAUGAGAGACUUUGAAGUAGCAAUACGGAUGAGAAUCAAGUAACGGAUUGGGUUUGCUCCUUAGUGGCGAACGAGGUAGUAAUAUAUAGGAACACCCCUCUUAGUCUUGAAUAAUUCGGAGAAAUCCGGACUAAUACAAGAUGGUCCCGCAAGGGUAAAGAAUUUCGCUAAGAGAGUGGCCUGUACGAUAUCAGCUAGUUGGUAGUGUAAUGGACUACCAAGGCUAUGACGUCUAGGGGAGCUGAGAGGCUGACCCCCACCGAUGGUACUGAGACACGGACCAUACACCUACGGGUGGCUGCAGUCGAGAAUCUUCCACAAUGGACGAAAGUCUGAUGGAGCGACGCCGCGUGAUUGAUGAAGUCCCUUUGGGACGUAAAGAUCUUUUAUGAGGGAAGAAGUUUAUUGACGGUACCUCAUGAAUAAGAGGCUCCUAAUCUCGUGCCAGCAGGAGCGGUAAUACGAGAGCCUCGAGCGUUAUCCGGAAUUAUUGGGC